rnacentral:lncRNA from 1 species
ACGCAUCUCCCCUUCUUCUUCCUCCUCCUCGCACAAGAUCGCUACGAGCUGAAUCUGAUUGGUCGUCAAGGACUCGAGCCUCCGCUUCCACUCUCGACGAUUUGCGUACGGUCUGGGGUCUGACAAAACGGUGGAAACGAACCGGAAGGUGAGCUCCAACGCUUGCAAAGCCGGCCUGAUAAGAGACUCAUUCUUCCAAUUCGGAAACUCUCUCGAAUCCCAUAGCUUCUUAAGCUCCGACAGCCGGAGGUAGUACUCGUACGCUGAACAUUCAGGCGAAGGAGCGGACGAUAAAUCACCGGCACGAAACGCAGAGGGGAUCGAAACCUGAAGCUUAUUUGAAAAUUUGGGCGACUUUUUGGGCAUAUCAGGUGAGACCAUUUUCGCUGUGCAAUCUAAAUCAACCAUGUUUAGGAAUAGAAGUGAAUGAAAACCGUCGACAACUUGUAUUAUCUGGUUUGCUCUAAUUGAGGAGGCGAAGAGAUGGAGGUAUUUAUAGGGGCAAAAGAGGGUCGAUGAGAAAAGCGUGUGAAAACUGGAAAG